AUACACAACGGCAGCUUUCCUACUGAUCAAUUAGUCCAGGCACAUUGACACAAGCCCCUGGAUUUUGCAACGUGAUGGCGGUGUUUGACAACUACCAUUCUGCUUUAGCUUUCCUCCAGAAUACCUGCCUUGCAUUGGCCCUGGGUAAAUGUUUCCCUUGGCUGUGAAUAGGCAAUUAAAAUUCUGAACCUUUUAUGGCUCUGGAAGCUUAUCCGAUGAAACAAUACUCAUCCAGGCGGAUGGCCCACCAGCGCAAAGGGCUGAAAAGUUCCAUGGCAGCCUCAUAACUGGAGGGUGUGUCCAUGAGGAGGGUUUCGAUGACACGCUGAAAGCUCGGGCAGAUCUCUGCAGAAGCUGCAACACAGAGGAGAGAAGGCACAUGUCUCCAGGCCCCUUUCCAAGCUGGCUAGCCCUCUGGCUGGGUCUGCCCAGAUGCAAACAGCCAGGCCCAUCAGCGAGAGAUAGCAGCCUUUUCAUCGAUGGACUAGAGUGUAAGAUUUGUGGAUUGCCCGAGUCUUCCUUAGACUUCUUGGGUUGAGGUGAGCAAGGUGCCGUUUUUCUUUCUGUUGGAGAUCAAGGCAGAGUAUUGAUCAUAGAAGCUGCUGGCCUGAUUUUUUAAUGCAGUGUGGAGGCUGGGAAGAGGCCACUGAGGGUUUUAUUUCCCACCAGAAACUUGCCUCUCAUCAGUGGUUAGAGAUGCCCUGAGCCAUGCUUCACUGGGGGCAUGUGACAAAUUCAGGCUCUGGCAGGAAAAAGCGAUUGUAAGCCAGGCACGGUGGCUCACACCUGUAAUCCCAGCACUUUGGGAGGCCGAGGCAGGCAGAUCACGAGGUCAGGAGUUCGAGACCAGCCUGGCCAACAUGGUGAAACCCCGUCUCUACUAAAAAUACAAAAAAUUAGCCGGGCGUGGUUCUGGGCACCCGUAAUCCUAGCUACUCAGGAGGCUGAGGCAGGAGAAUCACUUGAAUCCAGGAAGCAGAAGUUGCAGUGAGCUGAGAUCUCGUCACUGCACUCCAGCCUGGGCAACAGAGCGAGAUUCUGUCUCAAAAAGCAAGCAAGCAAGCAAGCAAGCAAGCAAGCAAGAGAAAAGAAAAAGAAGAAAAGAAAAGAAAAGAAAAGAAGCCAUUGAGAUUGUACCAGCCAAACAUGGGCCCCCGAACCUGGCCGGGAAGAGGUGUGCACAUGUGCACAGCGGGCCCUGUGGCACACUCAGCUCAUGGACAGAGCAGCCACUUGUACCACUUCAUUCCCUUCAACACAGAGCUUCCAGACUCUGUUUUCUUCUCAGGUCCUUACAACCAGGAACAUGGGGGAAAGUCACCAUUUUCUACCCACUGCUUGCCUCCAUCUUCCCAGGCUGAGGCCGCUGUAAGCCAAGGUACGCAACGCUUGCUAAACAGGAAUCCCUGGAAUGAAUCCAUGCAUGAGGCCUUUGUGCCAUGUGACAGUUGAAGGCUGUGGUGACCCCGGAACCGUCCCACUCCGAGACGCCUUAACACCGUUUUUCUGCUGUUACAAACCACAGAGCAACGCGUGUGCCUCCUCCCGCCCUGGGGACUCUUUCUGUGGGAGAGGUGCCUGGAUUUAGAGGAGCGACCACUCUUCAUUUGAUCUUGGUCACUUUCCCAGUUGUCACUCGGCCCACAAACUAGGAUGUGAGCAGCAUAUUAAGAAUCUGCAGAGAUGUUCCCGUCUGCCCGGCAUAUGGAUGUCCUUCUGGGCUGCAAAGUGGCAUCCUGUGGGCAACUCCCCCCACAACAACCAGCUGUGAGCUGUGCCCAGGCACAGAGGGACCUGGCUUUCCCUGUUUCUGCAGAUGGAGCCCAGGGUUUCAGGGAGGGAGGGGGCAGGCUGGGACCUGUUGGGGAUCUGGGCACUUUCUCAUGCUCCUUGAGCUGCAAGUCAUAGAAGGAGUGGGGUGGGAGCUGGGAAUGUACCUUCCCAAGGCCACUGGCAGAACCAGCAGGCCCUUUGCUCUGGGAUGAGCUCCCUCUGAGGGGUGGGGACAGUAAAGCGGACCGAAGUCCCUGUUCUGCGGGAUGGAAACUGGCUCCCCUCCAUUGUACAGGCCAGCUCUGGGGAUUUGGGCAGCAGAUUUGGGGUUGACAGCAGAAUGACAUGAUCACCAGUUGACCUUGGCCAGGAUGCCAGCUUACUUUCUCGCUUACUUCUGCAGGUUCUUUGUUCUGCGGGUGAGUCACCCAGGUCCUGCCCUCCGUGCCUGUCUGCCCUCUCCCACUUUCCCUGCCCUGAGCUUGUUCCCACUUGUAGAUUUGGCAGGUCACUGCCAAGGCCCCUAUUCCCCCAACAUGGCCAGUGCCCUAAGGGUGGGUUGUACAGGGAGGAGCUGGCGUGGUCAGUAGACUUGAAUCAGGGACAACUCGGCUGCUGAAGGCUGAGGGGGCCUUGCAGGGCUGCAGGUGCCUUGUGCACACAGGGAGUGGGUAGAGAAGGCAACCAGGGGCUCCUUCAGGCCUUAAUGCUCUGCAGCCCAGUGAGGCUGUGCCCAGAGAGUCUGGCGAGGCCCUGGUCUGCUCCCCCAGCCAAUGGCCUGAUGCUGUUCCAUCUGGGCACCCUGUCACUUUUCGUUCAUCAGGGAGUACAGGGUGAUUCAGGGUCUCAAAUGCAGGUGUUCACAAAAUGAAAUAGAACUUCCCUCUAUCCCCGUGCUUCUUUUUAUUUUUAUAACAAAUAUACAUC
rnacentral:lncRNA from 1 species